UCGAAGACAUCCAAAGCGAAGAGCUGUGAAAUUCUUAUGCUUCUCUUCCGUUGGAUUUAUACUCAUUUGAUUUGAUUCGAUUCUUCGUUGCUUUCACGUCUUCAAGUUGCGAGGUUUAAUUCGUCCAGAAUAUGCCCGAAAUGGAUGGUUCCUCCACAAAACCUCCUCAAAUCUCCGAGAUGUUCCAGAAAUUUGCCCUCGCUUUCAAGACCAAAACCUUCGAGUUCUUCGCCGAAGAAGAUCAUGCCGCCACCGCCGCCGGUGAUGACUCUGAUGGCUUCUCCCUCUUGGAUUCUGCUGAAGAUUUCAUCACUGAUCAGAAAGUUGUGGUCAUCAAACCAGAUCCAGCUGGCAAUUCCUCUCCCGAAACGACGACGCCGUCAACCCCUGAGCUGCCAGUUGCGAAGCCUCCAGCUGAGAGCCAGGUGAAGAAGUUAGAGGAAACUGAGAAAUUAUCGUUGCCGGCUCAACAAGUGGCUUUGACGAAGUCAAUGAGCGAGGGUCAAGUCAGAGCUUUUGAUACUCAGAUGAUCCACACGGUGAUUUCCUCGAUCUUCGCUACGAUUUCGUCAUUUGAAGCUUCGUAUGUUCAGUUACAGACUGCUCAUGUUCCAUUUAUUGAGGAAAAUGUGAAGGCGGCUGAUAGAGUUUUGGUUUCACACAUCGAGAGACUAUCCGAAUUCAAGAAAUUCUAUAGAGAUUGGCAAAGGAAUCCUGAUUUUGAUUCUGAAUUCCCAAUCAGGUCUUGCUUAGGAGCUCAGGUGGAAGAAAAUCAGAACAAGCUGCGAACUCUUGGGACUGUUUCGAACCGCUUACAGUCAGAGCUUGAACAAAAACAUGAUGAGGUUUCAGUUCUGAGGAAAAAGCUGGAUGAGAUUCAAAAGACUAAUGUCAAGUUGUCCAAGAAGUUAUGCGGUAAUUUGAGUUCUUCUACUGAUGUUUUGCUGACUGUAAGAGUGUUUGAUUCUGUCUUGCAUGAUGCUUCUAGAGAAACUCACAAAUUUACUAAGAUAUUGAUUAGUUUGAUGAGAAAAGCUGGGUGGAACUUGGAUGUAGUGGCUACUGCAGUUCAUCCGAAUAUCAAUUAUGCGAAGAAAGGGCACAAUCAGUUUGCUCUUUUAUCAUAUGUAUGUUUGGUGAUGUUUCAAGGUUUUGAUUCUGAAGAUUUUGAGCUGAAUUCUGGUGAACUCAUGUCUGAUGGCCUUGCUUUAGAUUCAGCGAAUAAAAAUAGAUUUCUGAAGCAACUGCUUGAGCAUGUAUCUAGCAAUCCAAUGGAGUUGCUUAGCAUCCAUCCUACUUGUGAUUUUUCGAAAUUUUGUGAGCAACAAUAUGAGAGACUUGUCCAUCCUACAAUGGAAUCAUCCAUUUUCAUUGAUCUGGAUGGAAAUGAAACGGUAUUGAAGUCAUGGAGGUCAAUAAGCAUGUUCUAUGAGGCAUUUGUUAGAAUGGCUAGUUCCAUAUGGACACUACAUAAGUUGUCCCAUGCCUUUGAUCCUGUGGUGGAAAUUUUUCAAGUGCAAAGAGAUGUAGACUUCUCUAUGGUAUACAUGGAAGAUGUUACAAGGAGAGUUACCUGGCCAAACAAAAGAAGGGCAAAGGUGGGGUUCACAGUGAUUCCAGGAUUUAAAAUUGGGAAUAUAGUGAUUCAAUCGCAGGUUUAUCUGAAUGACUUGAAAUGUACAGAGUAGAAUCAGUAGUUGCUCUUGUUCAAGAUACCCUAUAGGCAGUGCUAUCAGAUGAGACUGUAUUUGUAUGGUUACCAAACCUAUUGGCGGCUCAGGCAGUAUAUACCUUGUUUACUUUUCAUUGUUAGUGACUUCCACUGACUUUUCUGGAAUUCAUACCAAGAAGAUGCCUGCUACGGAUGGAGAAAGACAUGCUGUGUAUGCCAGUAGAAGAUGUUUGGUUCUUCUGCUGCUGAAGUGGGAGCAAGGCAAGUUGUCUCAAGUCUUCUCGUCUAUUUAUUGGCAAAAACCAUGUGCAAUAGUUUUUUUCCUGGCAAAAUAAAGGUUCAGAUUCAAAAUAUUUCCCAGGUGAAGCACCAGUCAGCCUUCUCUUCCAACCAUCCUAGAAAAAGACUUUUUGUUUAAUUCUUUGAUCAUAUUGCAAUGGACUUCCAGAGCAAUAAUUUUUCUGAAACAAACGAGUUGAUUGCCCGGCUAUGCACUGAGAAACACAGGAAUUACAGGCAUCACUUACCCCCCACCCCCCC